CCUCUCUCUCCAUCUCUGUCUCUUUCUCCUCUCUCUCUUCCUGCUUUUGCUCCCUAAGACGUUUGAAGCCAAAAUCCACCAUCUAGAGACCCGGCCUGCCCAGAGGCUGCGAGCUGGGGGCCCCCACCUGGAGUACUUCGUGCGCCUCGAGGUGCCCCGAGGGGACCUGGCCACCCUGCUCAGUGGUGUGCGCCAGGUGUCAGAGGACGUGCGCAGCCCUGCGGGGCCCAAGGUCCCCUGGUUCCCAAGAAAAGUGUCAGAGCUGGACAAGUGUCAUCACCUGGUCACCAAGUUCGACCCUGACCUGGACUUGGACCACCCGGGCUUCUCGGACCAGGUGUACCGCCAGCGCAGGAAGCUGAUUGCUGAGAUCGCCUUCCAGUACAGGCAGUGAGGGGCCCCUGCGCUCGGGACCCAGACUCCGUCCUGCAGGCUGACGCUGGACCUGGGAGGUGGGAGGGAAGGACAAAGGGGAGGACCCAUCUUGUCACCAGCAUCAGUGCCUCCUGCCAGGCAGCUCUGCUCCAGGGCUUUCCAUGUCCCCAAAUCCCAGUGGGGAAACUGAGGCCCAGGGGGGCUAGAGCAACCCGCCGAGGCCGCACAGCCGGCUCACGGCACAGUCAGCCGGGGUGCACCCUCUUGUCCAUCCUCCAACCCAAAGGCCUUGCUGCACUAGGCGGGUGUGGACCUGUGCCCAGUGAGGCUCCCUCCCUCCCUCCUGCCCUUCUUACUCCCCGAGGGGACCUGCUGACCACUGGCCCCCUCCCCAGCGGCGACCCGAUUCCCCGUGUGGAGUACACCGCCGAGGAGAUUGCCACCUGGAAGGAGGUCUACACCACGCUGAAGGGCCUCUACGCCACGCACGCCUGCGGGGAGCACCUGGAGGCCUUUGCUUUGCUGGAGCGCUUCAGCGGCUAUCGGGAAGACAAUAUCCCUCAGCUGGAGGACGUCUCCCGCUUC
rnacentral:sRNA from 1 species